AUUCGGUUAUUUCCUCAUAACAUGGAGAAGAAAAAUAUAGGAUAUUUUAAUUAUUUAUGCCACAUUCGCCUUGUCUCAUUUGAAUAAUCAGCCAGGGAUAUUGAUUAUGGCACUGAUAAUCAGUAAGGUAACUUACGUUCCCUCUGGACUACAGUUCCAUUGAUUCAUGCUAUGAGUAGCCUUCCCUAGUGUAAUUUUUUUGUAAUAGUCAUAUUCAAAUCAGUAUAUGGUUUGUUACAUGAAAGUGGACAUUUGGAACGGGUGGCAUGUAUCAUUGGCAUGCUUAUUGGACAUCCACACCGACAGAUGGCUCCUGAAGAUUUAGCGCUUAGCUCCCUGGCAAUCCUCCAUGCUACACUACAAAAUAAUACAAUUCCCAUGCAAUUCCCCGACCCAGCGCUAAUGCAGUGCACUGAGCCAAGGUUCGAAACCUACCCAGGUGACCCGGACGCACUGAGCACAUAGGAAUGACAGAACCGCGACUCGGCUGUAGAGUGCGGAAUGCGAGACCAGCCCUACUACCAAAUGAAAGAUGAGGGAAUGGUGGCUUCUUGUGGGCUUGCUGUGCAUUCCUCUGCUGGCGGUCUACCUGCACAUCCCUCCUCCCCAGCUGUCUCCAGCCCUCCUGACCUGGCGCUCUGCCGGAGCAUUCUUCACUUUCAGGAGCAACAAUAUAUUCUACAGAGAUAUGGAGACACUGUGGCCCUGGAACUGCGCUACAGGAAAGGUGAAAUAUGGUGGAUGCUAUAGAGCUGAUCCCAUCUUUGGAUCUCACAGGAGUGACCACAACAGGACUGGACACUUGACCAUCAACAGCCUCUGUCUGGCCAAUGGAGGCAUAUUCCCAGAAACACACCAUCCCAGAUUCCUUCAGAAGCUCCUCAAGGACUCCAGCUUCCUCUCUCCAGACCCGUCUCACCAACUACACGGUGUUCUCUAUAGGUUCAUAUGAUCUGUGGACCCCUGGAUCCAGUCAACCCUCACCCCCAAUUCAUCUUCCUUUACCAGAAACUGGUGCAGAGGUCUACUGUGUCGGUUCUGGAUGAACACAUCAGCCAUUAUCCCCAGCUGGAGGACCCUGCUGGCUUCCUCACCGCCUACUUCAGCUUCAUCAACGCCUUCUGAGCCAACGCACCAGAAUAAGACCAUCUGAACUUCUGCGAGCCUAACCUGUGUCAUGUUCAUUUGGGCUCACAACGGGAAGGUUAAAACAUUUUGCAAUAGGAAAACAAAAAUAUGCAUUUAUUGGAGUUCAGCCCUGUUUCAGUGUUUUCUUCCAUUUGGUGCCUAAACACAAAUGUUCACAUCUCCCAUUGUGAACAUCUCCCAAAAAGUUGUGAAGAUUCAGCCCUGACAGGGUCGGUGGUGAAAAACCUCAAACCUGGAUGAGAACUGUGCACAUUGAAUCAUAGCUGAUAUGACACACAGUAAUCUUGAAUCCAUUCCUGGACUGUCAUCAAAGCGCCAAGCCAAGUUCGACAGAUACGGUCUCCUGCUACUCAGUAUGAACAAAAUGACAGUACUACAUGGAUCAACUACUGCUAUAGGGACAUGGGUGAUCUUUCAUGCUUCCAGUAGAUUUCCUAAGGUAAUCUCAUCUUUGGGGUCCAAUCUAUUUGUUUAUGACAAAUUUAUAUAAUUUGUAAGGUUGAAGAGCAUUUGUAACAGGUUGCAACCCAAGGAAAAUUGUUUUGAUAUGAUUUCUACAUUCUGGAUGGAAGAAAUAAAAUGAGUUUUCCAUAAA